AGCGAUCGUUUCUACAUCAAUGGUGAGCCAUCCUCAGUCCAUUGGAGAAGCAUCUGAGGCAUAGACUUGUUCGCGGUACGGCCAUAACGUGGAUCCAUUUAAGUAUGUCUUCAAGAAAACUCCUAAGAGUGACAAGGAGAGGAGAGCGAAGACAUUAGCUCCUGGAUCAGCCGAUGAGAGCCACGUACUGCACCGAAGAGGCUUGAUUUUGAUGAUCCACUAGAAGUUUAGGAUCAUAUAGUGUUAG